rnacentral:rRNA from 1 species
AGAGUUUGAUUAUGGCUCAGGACGAACGCUGGCGGCGCGCCUAACACAUGCAAGUCGAACGAGAGAUGAGGAGCUUGCUCUUCAGAUCGAGCGGCGAACGGGUGAGUAACGCGUGAGGAACCUGCCUCAAAGAGGGGGACAACAGUUGGAAACGACUGCUAAUACCGCAUAAGCCCACGGCUCGGCAUCGAGCAGAGGGAAAAGGAGUGAUCCGCUUUGAGAUGGCCUCGCGUCCGAUUAGCUGGUUGGUGAGGUAACGGCCCACCAAGGCGACGAUCGGUAGCCGGACUGAGAGGUUGAACGGCCACAUUGGGACUGAGACACGGCCCAG